UGGGGCCCUUUCAGAACCAGCCUCUUGACUCUAUUCUGCUCCUGUGUUCUGCUUACCAACCCUUAGAGUCCAUAACAUUGAUCUGGUAGCAUUUUAAAUUGAUUCUCUGGGAGGACAAGCAGGAAUCUGGUGUCCUAGGAAGCUUGUACUAAUACAACAGAGUAACUUUAAAAUGAAUGAAAAUGACUAAAUUAAGACCCAGGUAACCAAAACUGUGAAAUUUGAGAGCAAAUGACAAAGGAACUUUGGGUUGAUUCCAGUGGAUUAUAACAAUAAAUUAAAUAAAAGCCACAAAAUAAAAAGUUCCCACAUGAUGUGCUUCAUCCUUUCAACUGAUGGAGUAGCCCCACCUGCUGAGGGCUGGUUCAUUG